UUCCGAAUCCGACACCGCCACCGCCUCCCGCAGCGACGCGACACCGGGCUCCAUUAACCAUCCACCGUUCCACCGGUGAAGCGAACCCACCAAACCGCGCGCUGCUCCUCAAACAACCUCACGACUCACGUGCGUGUCUUGUUUAUCCGUUUGUUUGUAUUUGUAUUUGUAUUUGUAUUUGUUUCCCCGGCAUGUUCGGCUCGUGCCCCCGGCUCGAGAGAUCGCGAUGUACGGUAUGAUUAUUCGCGCUUGAAAAUUUAUCGAUGCGAAAUUUAGUGCCAUGACAUGUAACGUCUUUUCGAGGAAAACCCAUCUAUCGAAAUCCUUAGUUUUCUUACUGCGCUCUCACUCUCAGAGCUGAUACUUGUGGGUGAUUGAAUUAUUAUAUGCGGUGAUAAGGAUUGGUCCUGGUGAUGGAACAGUAAGCCGGUUUUUAGUGUUGAUCGAAGUGUAGUGAUCAGUGAUUGGUGCUUGGAUCGUGUAAAGUACUGGAUGAAGAUCGAAAUUACACCUAAGGAGUAACAUCAAAGUACGUUUGGAUAUAUCGUCACGAUGAGGCAACUAUAUUACCCGGUCCGGCUCCACGCUUCCCUGCUCCUAGUCACACUGCUCUCCACCCACUGCCACAGCGAUAGCAUCAACAGCAAACCCAUCCACGUCCCGAAUAUAAACGAGCCAGUAUUAGAAUCGGGCUUCAGGCCCAUCGACAGCGGUCGCGACAAAGAGGUCGUCAGGAAACGUGGUCUAGUCAUCGACGAGCGGAUAUCCUUGAGCCAAGUCAAACGGGCCGACGAUGAACGUAACAUAGAGGCUGAGAUCCUAGGAUCAUCCGAAAAUGAAAACAAAUCUGUAGAAAGGGUCUCAAAAGAUUUGAGAAAUUUCCCGCCUUACCAACGCAGCUCAGAAUUCGCCAACAGAUGUGAUAACUGCAACGCCUUCCCCUGGAUACCAAUCGCCCGGGCCAUCCGCCUCCCACCCCCCUCGAACAUCAACACCCCCAGUGGCUACCCUCCACCACCACCUCAAGGGGGGUACCCUCCACACAACCAGGGAGGGUUCCCGCCGCUUCACAAUCAAGAUGGAUCCCCGGGUAGGUUCCCCCCAAUGCCCCCACCGCCGAAUUUCAUCAACUCUGAACCCCACCCCGGAGGGGAUAAUAUCCCCGCAGCCUCCGUCCAGAACUCUCCGCCCCCAUCCCCACCCCCACAGGAGCAACAGCCAAUCAGAAAGCCGUCCAGUCUUAAUAUCCCAAAUCCCGAGUUCCACUACAACCGGAACAUACCGAUACCGUCGGGCCCGUCGCAGAAUUUCCUGACCUACCCCAACGGCGGACCAGGCUUCAAGAAGGAACCGCCGAUGCAAGUGACCCUGGUCAACCGGCCAGAGCGACCUGCAGGGAUGCUCCAAUCCAUCCUAAACUUCUUUUCACCGCGCCCGCAACAACCCCCAAAACCGCCGAUUAAGAACGUGCGCCCGCCCCCUAUGCCAAUCGGCCUGAAGCAACCCUCCAACGAGCCGUUCCCAUCGGCAUCGUCCGACUUCGAAUACGAGAAACCGCCCCCCUUCCCGAAUCCCCCGUACAUCCCCCUCAACAACGACUUCCGCGGGCUCCCACCGUCGAUGAGCCUGCCCCCGAACAAGAUCUUCAUCUACAACAUCGCCGCCGACCAGAACGCCAAGGCCAACCAGGAGCUCCCCAUCUACAACACCAACCCGCGGAAGCCGGAGGUGAAUACGAUCCGACCGAUGCAGCAGUUCGCCAACUUCCGCUACGCCCCGAUGGCGAUCUUCCCGCAGCCGAUCCCGAUGCACCUGAUGCAGCCCUUCAACCGGUUCAACGGGCCCCAGAAGAUCGUCCCGGGGAUCAUCCCCGGGGCGAUCCGGCUCCCGGCCAACGUCGCCAGCAUCGAGACCGUCAAGAGCCGGCCGGUCGCGUCGUAUCUCGCCUCCAUCGAGUACCCCCAGGAGAUCAUCCAGUCCCCGCUCAUCGACGUCCCGACGAACUACUCGCAUGAGCCCAAGCAUGACAGUACCAACUACCUCAGCACGCCGCGACCCAUCUUCGUCCCGGAGACUGUCGACAACAGCCUGACCGGCGGCGUCCAGACGGCCACUGCGCCCACCUCCAGCGAGCCCGCGUACGAGCCUUCUUCGACCCCGUAUCCGGAUUUGAACCCCAGCGCGGGUAAUAUUAUCACGAACCUGACAGGGUCGCCGUUCCGGACGACGACGGACGGGUACACCGGUUUGGAUUUGGUGCAGUCUCAGUCGUACGCGGACUUCGACUGGCCGGUCACGCAGACGUCCACGCUGUCCAGCGAGGACACGACAUUGACCGACUACCCGACCACGUACCAGCCGGAGGUGUCGAGCCUCAAACCCACGCAGUUCUUCAACGUCUCUCAGGUGGAGGAAGGCCGCGCUCAAGAAAGACCGGGUGACCCGGCGUUCAACUACCUCAGCCCUCCCCCUGUCUCAGCCGACUGGUCGCAAGACUUGUGGUCGUCGCGGCCCGCUUUGGGUUCCGGGUUCCAGUCAACACCAGGCUCCGGGUUCCAAUCGACACUUGGCUCCGGGUUCCAAUCAACACCUGAAUCUGGAUUCCAAUCGAUACCUGGGUCCGGGUUCCAAUCGACACCUGGUUCCGGGUUCCAAUCGACACCUGGUUCCGGGUUCCAAUCGACUCCAGGUUCCGGGUUCCAAUCGACCCCUGGUUCCGGGUUCCAAUCGACUCCUGGUUCCGGGUUCCAAUCGACACCUGGAUCCGGGUUCCAGUCGACGGCGGGCUCAGAGUAUCAAACGACGGUGGGUCCCUCGCCGCUGAAGAAAAAGAAGCAGAUUCAGAUCAUCGUGCCGUACAUGGUGUCGCCGUUGGACGCGGAGGGGAAGGCCGUGACGUCCGUGACGUCGACGGAGAACCUGAUCACGGCGAUCAAUCAGCUGCCCGAGACGACGCUGGCCGAGCGGCCGUUCGUGACGCUGGACCACCUGCAGCAGUUCCUGGACGAGAACAGGGCCAAGGGCAACGGCAUCGACCUCUUCAGGCUCCAGAAGAACAUCGACAAUUGGACGGCGCAGGGGUUCUCGAACCACAAGCACGGACAGACGCUGGGCAUUGGCCAGGAGGACCAUAUCGCGCAGAUCCACCCGGCGAAGAAUAUCCCAGAGAAUUUCCUUACAGGAAGUGAGGUGUUCUCGAACUCGUUCGUGUCGACGUACAACAGCCGCGACAACGAGAAGCGGCACAUCUACUCGGAGCGGCGCUCGGUGGGCUUGGGAAACCCGCACCCUCUCAACCACUUGAGCCCGGACGCGGCCGGCGCGGAGUCGAGCUUGCGGGCGAGCAAGGUCAUCGCCGAGGGGAAGCGGACGAGCCCCACGACGCCGGUGACGACGUCCACGUCGACGUCAACGUCAACGGAGAGGACAGACGCAGGCGGCUCCGGGGUCUGGGACUCCAUCCCGGUCGCCAUCUCGCCCCUGACCAAGGAGAAGGUCUACAUGGUCACCGCUGUGCCCCACGUCGACCGGCCCGCCAACCAGCAGGCGCGCUCAUUUGCUCAACAAUCGUAAGCUCAAUUUCACGAUGAUUUCGAGACCAGACCCACAAUAGACUGAAUGAAGUGUACAUAUGUUUAUAUAAUUAGCGUAAUGUUGUCGACACGUAGGAAGAGCUAUAAGUCGGAUUACAAUGACCAAUUCACGAGGACUAUUCAAUCAGUUUGACAUUUGGAAGUCAAUCGUCCGGCACUUCAGCGCAGGGUCUUUGAAAAAUCGGGAUUCGGAUAGUAUUUUGGGAUUUCCAUCAUACACCAAAAUAGAGACGCGCUGGUGAGAGGAGAAGCGCGUUGAUCUUUAUUAUACUUUCAGUUUACCGAAUGACCUGAUCCAGUUGGAAGGGUUAAAAUAUAACUAUAUUUUCGAUUGUCUUUAUGAAAACAUGCAUUAAAAUGCUCACACCUUAGCUGGAAGUCUUUAGCUACGAUAGAAAGCAUCUUUUUGGGGCUACCAAUUAUACCGGGUAAAAAAUGUCUAGUUUCUACAACUAAAAUGACAAUGCCCUUAUCAUCAACAUCUUGUCUGGUUAAUUGGGAGGUCGUAAAACUAAUUAAGUGACAGUUGAGGAUGGCUGCCAUUGAUUUACAACCGGUAUAAUCAAAAUCAAGAUAUUUGAAAACAGCCCGACUCCGAAAAAAAUCCUAGGAACAAAAACAUGAAUUUUAGCCGAAGAUUUUAAUUUAGAAUUCUUGAUGAGGUCAUUACGCACUGCCGCCGCACCUUUAAUGAAGGUGCGUUUCGACUUCGAGCAACUAUUCUAACUCUCCGGUGAUCAAAUUGCCUAUGCACUGAAAUGAAGGGGUUUUGGAACGAGUCCGACGCGACGUGUAGAGCUCAUAGUGAGAGCGUACGCACCGUGCUGCCGCCACGCCUUCAUCAAAGGUGUGUUUCAACUUCGAGCAACUAUUUUAACUCUCCGGAGAUCAAAUUGCCUAUGCGCUGAAAUGAAGGGGUUUUGAACGAGUCCGGCGCGACGUGAGAGGGUACUCGACGUGUUGCCGUCGCGCCUUCAUUGAAGGUGUGCUUCGACUUCGAGCAACUAUUUUAACUCUCCGGAGAUCAAAUUGCCUAUGCGCUGAAAUGAAGGGGUUUUGAACGAGUCCGGCGCCGUAAUAGCCGAAAACUUGAGUUUAGUUUCUUUAAGUAUCCACAGGACCAUCCCAUAACCUGCCGGCCUAUGAUUAUUUUUUACCCAGUCCCAAAAUAUUCCCCGAGAGACCGACUUUUUAAUGACCCUGCAUUAUAUUACUUCUAAUUAGGAUCCGUAACAAGCAGGCCUCUGACGACGCCAACGCAUAUACAAUGGAGAAAGAUAUGGGAAAUUUUCUGCGACUAAAUUAGCAAUCCUCUCAUCGCCAUAGCUCCCGGCUCCGUGCUUCUCUUCCUAGCUUCUCUCGUCCAUCUUACACUUUCUUAUCGAUUGGGGGGGGGGGGGGGGGGGUCGCUGGACUGGACAAUGGACACUGAAGAAAGCAUCUACAAUCGGUGGUCAAACUAUAGGUAAAGCGCGAGGCUCAAUUCUUGUGUUUUAAAAACGCCCUUACGCUAAGAAAACAAACAUCCUAAGUAAGCUUACUAGGAAUAGAACGUAUUUAUGUAAAAGGAACUGCACAACCUCACCUUCCGGCCAAAGUAUCACAGGCGCCAUUCGAUGUUUAAAAAUUUCCGCCGCCAUUUAAUUUACUUACAGAGAACUUGCGCAACGAAGCUGUCCGAAAAUUUCAAUGCAUUUUCUUUGUGCUGCCGAUAAAAUUCGGUGAAUGUUUCAAAAAAAUUCUACCAAUAAUUUCUCUGUGAAAAAUUAAAAUGGCGGCGGAAAUUUUUAAACGGCGCAUGGCUCUUGUUAUACUUUGGCCGGAAGGUGGCGGCGUAGGUAUAUGGGCAAGAAUUAUAUCAAAUAAUAGUGUGCUUAAGAUUUGCGUAUGUUAUACCCAAAUCCUGUCCUGUAUCUGUGUUGUCCUUUUGAUUUAACUCAAUUGUGUAGGUACAGUUUUUUUUUACUAAAAAAAGAAAAAAAUGAAGGAGUGAAUUGCCACGACGAUGCUUGCAAAUCAAGAUGCCGCGAGACGAUCACCGAGAACCAUCACCAUCUUUGUAGAUAACGCACACUAAAUCAUGAUUUCUCAGAAACUUACGAUCCCCGCACAGUUCGUCAGAUUUUCUGGUGGACUAAUGUAAAAACUAAAAGUAGCGAUGAACCAUCGAAUUUUGUAAAAUUUGCAUUUCUGCUAUAUUUCCUCCCUUGAUAGUUAUAACCGCCCCAUCAAGUAAUAUAUAAUCAAAAUAUUUUUGAUGAUCUUCAACAUUCUGCGGACUCACAUGGACGGCGGAGGUUGCAAAAUCACGUUUCUCAACUUGCAAAUAUGCAGAUUUCUUGGUGUAUUUUACAUUUUAAAAAAUAAAACCAACGAACAUUUUAUUUGAGUUUCUUCCUAAUUUAUUCUCAUUCUGAAUGAACUGUUCUGUGAAAAUUUCAAGCAAUCAAGCGCAUUGCUUUUUUUCUUCUUCAAAAAAAAAAAGUUAAAUGCAGAAACAGCGUAGAUUUUGAAACGUCGCUAUCGAAAUUUGUUUUGCUUUUUUCAUCGCCGAUACCUGCGGGAGUCGAUACAAACUAAUUGUUUUUCAUCCAUGUUUUUAGAGUAUUUAAGUUUCUAGUAUUUUUUUAAAUAGGAAGCAGGGAGGAGAAUAUAUAUCCUAGGAUCUACUGAUUAAUAACUCUCUGAAUGCGUUUAAUGUGCGAAAGUAGAACACCCUGUUGGAGAACAACAGAAGUGCGAUUAAAUUUGGAUUAAAUGAAUCGCUCAAUCCCUAAUUCCCUACUUCGUUCGUUCUCCGACGGAUCGCGCUACUUGCGCACAUAAAACGCCUUCAGAUAGUCAAAUAUGUAAUGAACUGAAAUAAGCACGCACAACAUAUUCGUAACAACAAUUGCUGCAGACGCAGCUGAAGGCGAAUUGCUUUCGCACAUGAAACACCUCCGUCAACGGCGUCAACUUUUGGGUUAUUGAAUUGUUUUUUUUUUUUUAAAAACGUCCACAGUUGAAUACAAGAUGUUUACUUCCUAUAAUCUCUGCAAUCCGACACCUCCAAUCGUGAGAAAUGCGUGUUGAAGGUCAUCAAACCAAUUUUUUACGUUAAUAUCUCUGAUUGUAAAUAUGUGUGUCAGAUAUGAUAUGUAAGUACAAUAUAAAUAACAAGAGCAAACUGUAAGUGUCCACUCUUUACUUGCAUGGGCGCUGACUUGAUUUCAUAUUUUGAUUAGAUAAGUAUCAUGUUUUUUUCCAAGAUCAGGGAGGUCCUUAAUUAUUGUAAUCGCUGCAGCUGUAAAUACAUAAUGUAUAGGUACCUGAUUCGAUGUGCUAACAUUUAAGUUAUGAUUCAAAUAAAUCUGGUUUUUGAUACUGUAUGCAGUUUUCUUGCUUUUGAUGAUGACCU
rnacentral:lncRNA from 1 species